rnacentral:rRNA from 1 species
AAGUUAGGAGUGAAGCCCCGAGUUAACCUGGGAAUUGUUUCUAAACUGUGAGCUAGAGUACGGUAGAGGGUGGUGGAAUUCCAGGUGUAGCGGUGAAUGCGUAGAGAUCUGGAGGAAUACAGAUGGCGAAGGCAGCCAUCUGGCCUAAUACUGACACUGAGGUGCGAAAGCAUGGGGAGCAAACAGGAUUAGAUACCCUGGUAGUCCAUGCCGUAAACGAUGUCUACUAGCCGUUGGGGGAUUUGAUCCUUUAGUGGCGCAGCUAACGCGAUAAGUAGACCGCCUGGGGAGUACGGUCGCAAGACUAAAACUCAAAUGAAUUGACGGGGGCCCGCACAAGCGGUGGAGCAUGUGGUUUAAUUCGAUGCAACGCGAAGAACCUUACCUGGCCUUGACAUAGUAGAGACUUUCCAGAGAUGGAUUGGUGCCUUCGGGAAUCUACAUACAGGUGCUGCAUGGCUGUCGUCAGCUCGUGUCGUGAGAUGUUGGGUUAAGUCCCGCAACGAGCGCAACCCUUUUCCUUACUUGCCAGCAUUUCGGAUGGGAACUUUAAGGAUACUGCCAGUGACAAACUGGAGGAAGGCGGGGACGACGUCAAGUCAUCAUGGCCCUUACGGCCAGGGCUACACACGUGCUACAAUGGUCGGUACAAAGGGUUGCUACACAGCGAUGUGAUGCUAAUCUCAAAAAGCCGGUCUCAGUUCGGAUUGGGGUCUGCAACUCGACCCCAUGAAGUCGGAGUCGCUAGUAAUCGCGGAUCAGAAUGCCGCGGUGAAUACGUUCCCGGGCCUUGUACACACCGCCCGUCACACCAUGGGAGUUUGUUGCACCAGAAGUAGGUAGUCUAACCGCAAGGAGGACGCUUACCACGGUGUGGCCGAUGACUGGGGUGAAGUCGUAACAAGGUAGCCGUAAGCUUGGAAUAUACAAUCACUACUUGA